GGCGGGUCCAGGGCACAGUCUGCUUCGCCUUCUGAUGAAGUGUCAUGAUGCUUCUCUUUAUGAUAUAUAUUGUACACUUCUUCUAAGACUUAUUGGUUAUUAAACACAAACCAAUAUCAAUAAUGCAGCGUUGAGUGAGAGUUGAAGUCGGUGUGUUUAGUACGUGACUCCAUGUGUGAAUGACUUUUACUCACAUCCUCGAUAUACCAUUAGCUACAUGCUACUUGAGGCUAAAAAACAGUGAAUUUAGUCCUUUAGGGUUCCGUUUCAAUAUAUUGAUUAUCCUUACAGCCACUACCAGUUUUUUGGGGGCAUUUUGCUGGUUGUAUUGUCAGUAAGUACAGCGUUGCUGCCCAUAGUGACAGCCCUGUAGUUUAAAUCUCCCUGACAUCAAACAUGUCCUCCUGUGGACUGCUGGCCCUGUACCUGCCAGCUCCUCUGUGCUGGUGGUUCUACUACCCAAAUAGAAACAUAUGGACAGAAGUUACUAUUUAAAAAAGUGUGCAAUUAUAUUUGGUAACCUAUCUAAUUUGAUCUAUUUAACAUUGUUCUUUUUAUUCAUGCAUAUUUAACUAAUCCCUCCCCUUUCACCCUGUAUUUUGGUUCUGCUGUCCUAUAGCAUUCAUUGGAAUGAUUUCAUUCCUGUUUGAUUUAUUCUGUCAUUUUGUAUAACUAUAUUAAUCAUAUCAAUAUAAGUGUCUUGGACAUAUGUUCAUGAGGUAUGACGCUCUGCUGUCCGUACGCUUCUCCAUGUUUGGGAUUGCAAGAAUAUAUCAUACAUUGACUUUAUCCAGUUUGAAGACACAUUUUGCUGCAGAGUUUGAUUAACUGACGGCUUACUCACAUGCUGUCUACAGAGCACAUGUGAUGCAUUCAGCCUCUGCAGCCUCUCUGCAGGACACACCCCGGAAGUAUCAUCGUGCAACACCUGGCAGAGAAGCAGCGUGAUGGCGCCGGUGUGGAAACACUUGUUGGCGUUUUACCUUCACUGCUAACAGCCUGCACAUUGUGCUAUCCCGUCAGCGUUGGUGAGUGCAGAGUUUCUGGACCAAACCUUGGGACAGCCGGGUUUCUUCACAUCAUCCUCGUCCUCUUCUUCCUCCACUCGUGGUAAAGAUGAACAGGUUGCCCCCCCACAGAAGAAGCAGGCCACAUCUGCUGGAUCAGGUACCAGGCUGCUAGCUCAGGAAGGAUCAGACCAGACUUAGAAGGCUGUUGACCUGAGGAAGUUUGGACUAAAUGUGUGGGUGAUGAAAAGCAAUAUGUGGAAUAAGAACUUGAUCUGGCGAUGCAAGGAAGAAGACUGUCUGUCAAAACAAUGUAAAUUCAGAGAAAAACUGUGACACAAUUGGUAUUACCUUGAUAAGAGCAGGAUGGAUGCAGAUUGUUGAAGAAAUGCAGCAUGUGGUAGUUAAGAGGACAAAUUCAAUGUACUGCCACGGUUGAGUCCAAGCUGAGAAUCAUCUUCUUAUAAGUUGAAAAUAUGUAGCGAUCUUCUGUAUCUGAUGCCUUUGGAGAAAUUCCUUUGUGUUUUAUGUAAGCUAAAGAAGCCAGACAACGCCACCUUGGGAAUUUCACAGAAGGAAAUAUUUAUCAACAGUACCAAUAAGGCACUCAGUAUUAUUGAGGGGCAGGAGAUGUGGUCCCAAUUAAUCAAAUGUUUUAUUUCAAAGAUUAAAAUGUGGUUGAAUACACAGACCAUCAUACACGAAAAUUAAAGGGGGAAAUCUUAAUUCAGGGAUGCUGAGUGGAUGGAUGUGGCGAAGGGUGAGCGGGAUCCCAACAAAGUAAAUUAAGGCACCCGUGAUCACUUUACACUCACAAGAAGGAACACCUAAAUCAGGCACGACACACACAAAGGGAGAAGCCACCCCUUGGGCUCUCCGCAACUAAGAGGGGGAAACAAAUACUACACAAACCAGCACAUGAGAUGAGCCUAAAGAAAAUAAGAUCAACACUACGACCAAAAUAUAACUAAUAUUGACUGAAAUGAACAAAACAAGUUUAGAUCAACAGGGUUGAAAACAAAUAAACUAAAGAAAAUGAAAUCAACCCAACAGUAAUACUGAGUGAAAUAAACUAAACCAGCUUAACUCAACAGGGUCAAUGAAAUAACCAAACUAAGUAAACGGGGGUUAAUCCAACACAGUAAUCACCAUGUGCCCAAAACCUCCUUCAAAAUAAAAGCUGGGGGUCUCUCCUGGUUAAAAAUGUCUCCAAUACAUACAAUUACCCCAGUUGCCUAAAGAUGCCUUCAAAAUAAAAGCAUAAAACUACUUCAAUUAACUUGAAUAAUAACAAUAAAUUGACUUCAAAAUAAAAGCAUAAAACAAUUCACUUUAAUCAGAACCAUAAAUAAUAACAAUAUAUUUACUGGAAGCAAAGACAGCAAGACAAUACAUGUUGAACCAUUGUAAUAAUAAAAAAGGAUGAUAGAGACCAGCAGGCCAUUUUUUAUUUAAAAAAACAAACACAACAGGAAACUUAAAAUGAAAAUUGAUUCCAAUAUGACCAUCACAGUUUAAAGAAAUAAGAACAUAAAAAAUAACUGACACAUGGCAUCAAUGGUAUGUAGUGUUUUCUAACAUCUUGCAUUCAAAUGCUUCAUAACUAAGAUGACUACACGUGUUUAUUUACACUGGAGUGUUUAUCUUAUUUGCCUGUCAACUCAGUAACUUUAAAACCUCAGUUAAAAAUUGAAUACCUGGACUUGAAAUGAUGUACAUUUUGUGACAGUUUGCAUUGCUAUUUCAAGAUUUCCCAGUUGGAUGUACCAAGUGUCCCACCUCCACCGCACCAUCUUUUUCACCUAUGAUAAACAUGAUUGUUGACUUACAAUCAAAUUUAAAGACACAGUUGAACUUCCUGCUACAGAACUGAAAAUAAAAUGUGAGCAGGAGAGACCUUCUCCACUGUGAGCAGGUUGAUUAGCACCUUUCAAAAUAAAAGAAAGGUGACGUCU